rnacentral:rRNA from 1 species
UGGGGAAUUUUGGACAAUGGGGGAAACCCUGAUCCAGCCAUCCCGCGUGUGCGAUGAAGGCCUUCGGGUUGUAAAGCACUUUUGGCAGGAAAGAAACGUCGCGGGUUAAUACCCCGCGAAACUGACGGUACCUGCAGAAUAAGCACCGGCUAACUACGUGCUAGCAGCCGCGGUAAUACGUAGGGUGCAAGCGUUAAUCGGAAUUACUGGGCGUAAAGCGUGCGCAGGCGGUUCGGAAAGAAAGAUGUGAAAUCCCAGAGCUUAACUUUGGAACUGCAUUUUUAACUACCGGGCUAGAGUGUGUCAGAGGGAGGUGGAAUUCCGCGUGUAGCAGUGAAAUGCGUAGAUAUGCGGAGGAACACCGAUGGCGAAGGCAGCCUCCUGGGAUAACACUGACGCUCAUGCACGAAAGCGUGGGGAGCAAACAGGAUUAGAUACCCUGGUAGUCCACGCCCUAAACGAUGUCAACUAGCUGUUGGGGCCUUCGGGCCUUGGUAGCGCAGCUAACGCGUGAAGUUGACCGCCUGGGGAGUACGGUCGCAAGAUU